rnacentral:lncRNA from 1 species
CAUCUUGAGCAAACAACGGGUGUGACUCUUGAGCCCACCAUGAUCCAUCUCUUACACGGAAGAACCAAGUCACUUUCUUGACCCAUCUCUCCUCUGGAAGAUUCCCCUAUCGCUGCAUAACUCAGAAAGUCUUCUCAACAUGGUUGAUCCAAACCUCGGAAUUCUCAGGCCUCUCAUUGCCAAAGAAAUUAUUUAUUUGAAGAUAGGAUAUGGUCUCUAGGGUAGUCCUCUAGGGAGGACGAAGUGUGGACUGAAUGGCCUUGGCAAUCGCCUCACCAAGUUGACCAAAAUCAGGAAAAUUAGUCUCAUAAGGGAUAUGUGGCGUUCUACGAGGUGGCAUGAUUCUGACAUAAGAGAUCAAAAAUUAUUAGGGCCUAUAGUAUAUACGGGAAUGCAGGACUGCCAAACCUUAGGCUCUGAUACCAAACUGACACACCCCGACCGAAGUCGAGGCAUACUGGCUGUCAUCCGAAGGUGACGCAACAAAAAAUGUAAGUGAUGUAAAAAUGUGAAUAAAUUAAAACCGAAACUAGAACUUAUUUAGAUUAAUAAAACGAGUGCGCAGCAGUGGGAAGAACCCAUAGAAUACAAAUGUUCAGAGCAUAGAUGACAAAGUAGUGUAAUCGAAACUAGUUAAGUACUUAAUACACAACUGGGAAAAGUCCUUACAUUAUUUAUGGAUAUGUCAGAACCACCGGACAUUCCUCGUACACCACAGAGUAAAUCAGCUAACUAGGACCAGGUGGGGGUGAAAGACAAAAGGGUGAGUGGGCAAAAACAAAAGUUUAUAAAAUCCAUUUAUUUUCUAAACAUACUAACCCCUCACUGUAAAACAUGUAUAGUUUCCGAAAAAUCAUACUACUUAUAGGUAUGAAAUCAAAUACAAAUCAACAAUGAAUCCAUAAGUAUGCCAUAUCACAAUAUCUCAACAAUAAUAUAAGUAAAAUUAGGUGCUCAUCGAUCUAUGCUAGUACACAAGUCGGAGUCGCCUAAUGCAACCUGUACGACUGGACUGAUGCUCAUCAAUCUAUGCUAGCACACAAGUUGGAGUUGCCUAAUGCAACAUGUACGACAUGACUGGGUGUAAUCAUAAUAUAUGCUCUAAUGCUACAAUCAUGUGAAGACUGGCGCUAUUCGUGGUUACAUACAAGUCGGAGUUGCGUAUUGCAACUUGUAUGACAAGAUGUUGGAGUUGCCUAUUGCAACCUGUACAACGUGACUAGCACCUACUUGGAUCUAAGGUGAGCGUGUGGUGCGGAUGUGAACAUACAGUUGAAAGAUUGGCUCUGGCCCUGUAUGAGCACUAAUACCGGGUGCAGCAAUGAUGAGCAGACUACAUAAAUAUAAGUAUGCCAUAAUGAUUCAAUAAUUCUAGUCAACAUAAUAAACUUACUUGCACGUCCCGUAAUUAUUUUAGCAUUUCACAACAGUACAACAUUUCUUAUAACAUUAUUAAUCAUGGCAUGAUAUGCAUAAAUCAAUCCAAAAACAUUGAUGGAAACUAUAAAACUUUAUAUAUA